rnacentral:rRNA from 1 species
CAUGAAGCUGGAAUUGCUAGUAAUGGCAGGUCAGCAUACUGCCGUGAAUACGUUCCCGGGCCUUGUACACACCGCCCGUCACACCAUGAGAGUUGGAAAUACCCGAAGCCUGUGAGCUAACUUAAAGAGGCAGCAGUCGAAGGUAGAGCCAAUGAUUGGGGUGAAGUCGUAACAAGGUACC